AUCUAGCUUGGGUCCUCUGGAAGAGCACCAAGCACACUUAACCAGUGAACCAUCUCUCCAGCCCUCUGUUUUCUGAAUUUGCUCAUUGUGUUUAUUCAUCAAAUGCUCUUGACAUGCUAGACACACGUGCUGGGAUUUGAUCAUGAACAAAAUAGAAACGGGGUCUCUUCACGGAGCUUAUCGUGUGCAAAGAUGCUACUUGACUGAGUAGAGAAUCCUAUGUGACUAAACCUGGAAAGAUGACUGUUGGCUGGAAUGAUAAGCUUCUGGGCUGCAGAGAAUGAAUGGGGGAGAUGAGGUGCCUACAUAUCGUGUGGAGUGGGAAGGGAUGGACCCUUUGGCUGAAAGGUCAUGUGCUUUAUCAAGGAUAAGAAUGUGAGUGGAGGAGUUGAUCAGCCAGUACCGGCCUCAAGGGAAAAAUCCAGGUAUGCAAGAUGAUGCUUGCCGUAGAGUGAGCCGCAGAGCAGACUUGACUGUUAGACGUUCCAAGCAAGGGAGAGAUCGGUGUGAUGUUCCAGUUUCCUACCUAGGUCUUGAGUGACAGCUAACAUCACGUCAUUGAUAAGUGUUCAGUACAGACUGGUGUGGGGUCUUUUGACAUCCUCUAACUUGCCAUCCUCACAGCUGUUUGGGUACUCAGUUUCUGGAAGAUGAAACUAAGACUGCUCAUCCACCUUCUACUACUGGCAAACAACACACUUUUUAAUCCCUUCAAUUGCUGUGGGAAAUUUCCUUUUCAACCGAGAACUAUUAACCACCUGUUGUGCAUUAGCAAACCUCAAGUCCAUUUAUUGGUUUGAAAUUAAGCUCCACUCAUCUGAUUUCAAGUAACAAGCUGAGGAGAAACUCCGUGGGAAAAAAAAAAAUAGACUGAGCUCAAAUAUACAUCUCAGCUGUUACCUGUAAGGCAGGGGAAAUCUGAAGCAUCUUGGACAUCUGUCAGGACUGCAGAACUAAAACCAGCUGCAGUGACAGAUGCUGUGUAGCUCCAAUGAGCAAGAUUGAGAACUUUUUUCUUCUUUCGCUAAUUAAAUAUUCCUAGAGUUGAUUACUAAUAAUGUUUAUCACUAAAAAAUCCAAUUAGAAUGUUUUUGUUAAAGUGUUGUUGUUGUUGUUGUUGUUGUUGUUUAAAUCAAACAGUGUAACCCUUUUUAAAGACUCAAAAUAGGGGUUAAAGAGAUGA